AACGCUGGCGGCGCGCCUAACACAUGCAAGUCGAACGGAGAAAGAAACAGCUUGCUGGAUCUUCUUAGUGGCGGACGGGUGAGUAACACGUGAGCAACCUGCCCUUCAGAGUGGAAUAACGUUUGGAAACGAACGCUAAUACCGCAUAACACCAUCGGAUGGCAUCAUCUGGUGGUCAAAGCUUUAUGUGCUGAGAGAUGGUCUCGCGUCUGAUUAGCUAGAUGGCGGGGUAACGGCCCACCAUGGCGACGAUCAGUAGCCGGUCUGAGAGGAUGAACGGCCACAUUGGAACUGAGAUACGGUCCAGACUCCUACGGGAGGCAGCAGUGGGGAAUAUUGGGCAAUGGGCGAAAGCCUGACCCAGCGACGCCGCGUGAGGGAAGAAGGUCUUCGGAUUGUAAACCUCUUUCAGCAGGGAAGAAGCAAGUGACGGUACCUGCAGAAGAAGUCACGGCUAACUACGUG
rnacentral:rRNA from 1 species